UGCGGAUAAGAGACCACAGCUCCCCCCAUUCCCAGCAAAGGUCCCUCCUCCACCGAGCUCCUCCAGGCUUCCAGUGCAGUUCCGCCGUGCGGUGGGAAGCUUGGCUGUUCACAAACCUCUCCUGCCCGCGAGGAGACAGCUUGGCCAGGGCGGCUGAUCUCACCUUGUCAUUGUGACACGGUGUCUCCCCAACGUGCUGGCUUCAUGACUUGUGCCCAGAGUUUGAUUUUCCACAGACCAGAUUAACUCUUAAGUACUCCACAACUACACGCUUUUGAAACUGGCGUUGGCAUAGCGUUAGUUCUGUGCAGGGCGGACGCAGCAGGACAGAAUCUCCCUGGGCAUCUUUUCGGAGCAUCAAUUUUACUGCAAAAUUUUGAAAAAACAAAUUUAAUUGAUUUCCAAGGAAUGCAGAAAUAAGGAGGGACAGCUCUACCUAUGUUUGGAGCCCAUGAAUGUGUCAUCUUGCUGUGUUUGUAAAUAGAAAUUUAUUUCACAAAAUGACUCAACUGCGUCUUCACUAACAUGUUCAAAGACUUGCAAGAAGCAGCCAGGCAUGGUGGCUCACACCUGUAAUCCCAGCACUUUGGGAGACCCAGGCAGGAAGAUCACCUGAGGUUGGGAGUUCGAGACUAGCCUGACCAACAUGGAGAAGAAUCGUGUCUACUAAAAAUACAAAAUUAGCCAGGCACGGUGGCGCAUGCCUGUAGUCUCAGCUACCUGGGAGGCUGAGGCAGGAGAAUUGCUUGAACCCAAGAGGUGGAGGUUGUGGUGAGCCGAGAUCGCACCAUUGCACUCCAGCCUGGGCAACAAGAGCAAAAUUCCGUCUCAAAAAAAAAAAAGAGAGAGAGAGAGAGAAAAGAAAAGAAAAACACUUGCAAGAAGCAAAACAAGAAUUGAGAAAGGGGAAAGAUGAUAUCUGAGAGUUGGAAGGUUGCACAUUUUCACAGAAAAGUAGAACGGAAUUGUAACAAGCACUCUGAUAGGAAAUCACAGUUUAUGUCUCGCAACUGUCCCUAAAAAAAUACAAUGGUUGGCAGAAAAGACAAGAAAUGAGAUAGACUAUAAAUUAACUGGAGAAGAGAAAAAAAUAAUUCCCAGAAGUAAAUUGUCAACGAGUUUGAAAGCAGGUAAAAGGUUUGUCAAGGAGGACAGAAACUCAGAGCACCCUGCACUUGGGGAUCGGCACUAGGAGCUGCUCUCUGGAUGGGGAGAUGGGAGCUAGCAGCUCACAAUGGGGUCACAAGAAUAUUGGUUCUUCUUUUAUCUGAACUGAGGAGCACCAGAGGACUGAUCAUGGCAUAGACAUUCACUACAAGACUCUGAACUUGCUGGUUGAUUGGGCCAUAUGCCCACAACAUUGCUGAGGAGAAGGAGAUGAUGAAAUCCACCCAACAGAGGACCACAGAGAAACUUACCAGCAGCAGUAUGGUCUGGAUGGCCCAUUUCUCAGGGGAAGCUCCUGGGGAAGGACCAUUGCUGUGAAGGUGGUGGGAUCACCUCUGAGGCCUGAAUAAGAGAGUCACCAUGUAUGCAAUUAAGAACAGCAGUAUUCCUACCAGGAAAGCAUCCCUAAGUGUUGUCAGAAUAAGAAACGUGGCCCUGAGGAUGAAGCUCAUGGAGAAAACUGGGCAGUACUUACCUAUAUUCAGUACAUUUGUCUGGCUCACACUGGAAGCAGCUACAGUGUAGAAGAUCCUGUUACUACUGAAAGACAAGUUGAGGAACCAUAAGAAGAAGAAAACAUGGAUAAUGUAAUUUGAAGAUUUAUGUUUAAACCUUGCCAAUCAGGAGGUGCUGGGGCUGAUGGUGGUGGCCUGGAACACACUCAGGGGGCAGGUGGUGCAGAUGGAGAGGCCCCACAACACCCUGCUCAGGUGGAAAAGUGCCUUACACUUGAAGUCAUUCUGAAGUUCAAUGAUGCAAACAGGUUUGGAGACUGCAAUAACAGUGCAAUGAAGAAGUUCACUAUGUGGACGAGGGGCAAGGGACAGAUGAUCAAGUCAGUGGGUUUUAGUCUGUGAUACAGAAGGAGAGUGAAGAUGCUGAAGAGGAACAGAAAAGUAUUGGCUGAGAUUCCAACAGCAACUUGUAAAACAAAGCAGCUUUUUAAUAACAUAUAUGAUAUGUAUGUACAUUGUAGUGGCAAAGAGGAAACAUUUGUAUAUCUGAAAAAACAAGUUUAGACAUCUUCAGUGCUGUUCUAUAGUUAAAAUUAUCACAACUAUGAUUAUGUUUAUUUCUCCCAAUUAUUAAGACUUACAAUGUAAUAUAAAUUAUUAGAAAAUACUCCUUCAGCAUUACAUGUAUUUAUUUGCACAAUGCUUCAGUGUGUGUGUGAGACACUAUACAUAAAUGUAUAUGUCAGCAUUACACAUAUAUAUAGUCAGCAUUAAUUUUAUGCCAAGUAACAUAUAUAUAAUGUGUUUGUGCAUAAUCGUUUUUUUUUGUUUUGUAGGGACAGGAUCUUAUUCUGUUGCCCAGCCUGGUCUCAAGUCCAUGGGCUCAAGUAAUCCUUCUGCCUUGGCCUCCCAAAG
rnacentral:lncRNA from 1 species